AACGAACGCUGGCGGCAGGCCUAACACAUGCAAGUCGAACGCAUCGCAAGAUGAGUGGCGCACGGGUGAGUAACACGUGGGAACGUACCCUUUGGUUCGGAAUAACGUUUGGAAACGAACGCUAAUACCGGAUGAGCCCUGUGGGGGAAAGAUUUAUCGCCAAAGGAGCGGCCCGCGUCUGAUUAGGUAGUUGGUGGGGUAAUGGCCUACCAAGCCGACGAUCAGUAGCUGGUCUGAGAGGAUGAUCAGCCACACUGGGACUGAGACACGGCCCAGACUCCUACGGGAGGCAGCAGUGGGGAAUAUUGGACAAUGGGCGGAAGCCUGAUCCAGCCAUGCCGCGUGAGUGAUGAAGGCCUUCGGGUUGUAAAGCUCUUUCGCACGCGACGAUGAUGACGGUAGCGUGAGAAAAAGCCCCGGCUAACUUCGUGCCAGCAGCCGCUGUAA
rnacentral:rRNA from 1 species